rnacentral:rRNA from 1 species
UACGUAGGUGGCAAGCGUUGUUCGGAAUUACUGGGCGUAAAGGGCGCGUAGGCGGCCUUCUAAGUCAUACGUGAAAUCCCUCGGCUUAACCGGGGAACUGCGUCUGAUACUGGAUGGCUUGAGGUUGGGAGAGGGAUGCGGAAUUCCAGGUGUAGCGGUGAAAUGCGUAGAUAUCUGGAGGAACACCGGUGGCGAAGGCGGCAUCCUGGACCAAUUCUGACACUGAGGAGCGAAAGCCAGGGGAGCAAACGGG